GACACACUUUGAUUUCUUGGCAUUCGCAGAAUGCACUGUGGUGCAGAGGACUUCAGUUGCUGUAAUUUUCAGAGUGAAGAAUAAUUAUCACAGGGAAGUGACCUUGUACUUGCUAUGACUGAAAGGUUCUUAAAAAAAGAAACUCGUGGCAAGCAGUGGAUAGUGAGGAAGAGCAACCCAAAAUCGAUUCUCAGCCAAGGGCCAGAGACCCACAAAUCAGCACUGCCUGCAGCAGCGGCCCAAGAAAGGAAAUCCGUGCAGGAUUAAUGCUGGUGGAGUUCUGUGUGACUGCAUACGGACAACGAACGAAGUCCUGACUAGUUGUUUGAAACGUGUUACUGACGGUGUUGUAGCAGUUGUUACUGCAGUAAGUACUAGGAAUUAUCAAGAGUAUUGAUCGUAUGCAUUAUAUGUUGGCUUUGGAGAACAGGGAAAAAAACUCUAGGCCACAUUUUUUAUGUCUUGACCUUUAUGUAGAGACAUGACAACAUAUCCUCUAAUACAGUUUAAAGCUGUUCUUAAAUUACAUAUGUGACCAUGCAUAAGGCUUCCUUAAUUCUUCUUUUGAAACCCUGUAAUUUUUCCCAGAGGAGUCUUUGAUUCUGUAGAUGAGUUCAUCCUCCGUGCUGUCAAAGGCAUAAGGCUUACCAUUUAAGGUUUUCACUUAUGAUUGAAAUGUAUCUUUUGUUUGUGGCACUUGUUUUUGUUCUGCGUGCCAAAGCUUCAGGGUUUUGUGGUUUUGUCUUUGUUACAGUCUGGCUAUACUAUUCUCAAAUAUCCCUCUUUCCAUAUUUUUCUUUUUGUAUGCGAUUCAUGAUUUCACUCAUGAAUCUAGAACUGAGCUCUGCACAGCUGCUAAUAAAAAAUUGUCUUGAUGGUUAUUCUCGAGUCUGAAGAAUGAGCAUGCAGACAAGUUGCUGGCCUUUUUUUGGUUGUUCUCAGAACGUUGGCUUUUUUGGAGAUCUCUUCUGUGAAAUCUCUUUUAUCUGUAAUUACAGAACAUUGUGGUUUCAUCUUGGUGCCAAGGGCCAGCAAAUGACUGCAGGGAAUAUUGACAGCCCAUUUGUCUAUCUUAUGGCCUACUUUUGGUCACAGUGAUAUCAUUGCCUAAAUUCUCAGUGAAUUUAUCUGGUUGUGGCUUUAACUGUGUGUGUGCUUCUCAGGGGCUGACCAGCGUUUGUGUAUGAAUUCUAUUGGGAGCAAAUGAGGAUAUAUUCUUUUCCUUUCUCUCUUGAGUAGUAUGGGCUAGACUGCUG